rnacentral:rRNA from 1 species
CUCGGCAACGGAUAUCUCGGCUCUCGCAUCGAUGAAGAACGUAGCGAAAUGCGAUACUUGGUGUGAAUUGCAGAAUCCCGUGAACCAUCGAGUCUUUGAACGCAAGUUGCGCCCGAAGCCACUCGGCCGAGGGCACGUCUGCCUGGGCGUCACGCAUCGCGU